AACGAAACAAUUCAUGAAAUCUUUAAAUUAAAAAGCACUCUUUUUAUUGCUUAAUUAUUAUAGUGUUGACCAUUUUAUUUCAGAAACAAAUUGACUUUUUGUUAUUGGAUGAAGAAAAAGUGUUACUCGGGCGAAAAAAAACAUAUAUAUUCUUGGGCAAUGGGAAGAUUUCCCUAUCAUGAUCUGUAGCUGAAUAAUCUCCAAAUAUUUGCAACUUCCGGGCAGUGGUUUACAAUGUACUGGACACAUUACAGACGAGGACCAACUUGAAGGAUAUGUAUCUCAUAACCUCCAAUCAAGCUUAGCAUAUUCUCAGUUAAAUAAUUUGAAAUGUGCACUGGAUGAUGAACAGAGGUUCUGUAUCUAUUUAUCCUUGUGGUAUUGGUGGACAAGAGGGUACGAAAACAAGGAUUAAAUGGGCCUUAAUAGACUUCAUCCUAAUGGCUGUGAUUAUGUUGGGGCUUCAUAGCUAUUGUUUUGCAUAGCUGCAAAUGCACUGAGAGUCCCGCAGUGAACUGACUGAUCAUCAAUAUCCCAAUAGAACACUGAAGUCAAGCAUCACUGGCUGCAGUCAGUGUGCGGGUGAGUAACCUCUUUGAUCAGCAUGCAAAGGGACCGAGAGUGUGCUGUAUCGGUCCUCGUUAAACUGUUUUAAGCUACGUGGUUGACUUUGUAUGUCAUCAGGCUACCGAAACAGAGGUCAUCCCCUCUCCAGAGGAUGAAAAAUGGUGAUGGCAUGUCUUCGGAUCAUCCUCUGAGAUGUUUCCCAGAUUGUCACUAAUAGCCCAUAGUUCAGAUCUAGUGGGACGUAAACCAACAACAACUGAUACUCAGAUGUUCUGUAUUUUAAAAAAUUUAAUUUAGAACUACCCAUGUAUAAUCAUUUGUGUAGAUCGGCUCUUCUUUGUCGCUU
rnacentral:lncRNA from 1 species